UACGGAGGAUGCAAGCGUUAUCCGGAUUCAUUGGGUUUAAAGGGUGCGCAGGCGGGCAUUUAAGUCAGUGGUGAAAAGCUGCCGCUCAACGGUAGUCUUGCCAUUGAUACUUUUUGUCUUGAGUUUGUUUGAGGUAGGCGGAAUGUGCAGUGUAGCGGUGAAAUGCAUAGAUAUUGCACGGAACUCCGAUUGCGUAGGCAGCUUACUAGACCAAUACUGACGCUCAUGCACGAAAGCAUGGGGAGCGAACA
rnacentral:rRNA from 1 species